UGGAAGUUUUCUCCAUCAAUUUCGUGCUAGAAUGAUCUUGGGCUUGUCAAAGGGUAGGAAAUCCCUCUCUUAGCGAAAUUGAAUACUCGCCAGGCAUUUUCGACCAUCGGAGAGUGAUAUUGUAUCGAUCCAAUUCGUCAAAAAAUUCUAUGAGGCUUGCGAGUGGUUUUAUGAGCUUCCUAGCUCUGUUCAGGCUAGGAUCGACGACACUAGCUUCCGCCAAUUUGUUGUAAUGCUUUCGUCAGUCAGCGGGAGGACGGAUCAUACCUCAGUAUGUGCCCUGCUUGAGAGAUAGAUGGACACUACCCAUACAUUCCAUACUAUAUUGGGUUUGGGCAUUGGAAAUUGGCCUUUUGGUGGGCUCACAGCCUAUCAGCAUUUCUCAUGCUUUCUCGGGCUUGAGCUGCUGCGGCUCGUGUAGGAGCAUCCUUUUGGAGUGGGCACAAGUCCAUGUGCACUGUUUGUAGAUCAACUCCCUAGCCUGGAACAAGAUAAAAGAAAAUUUAUUAAUUAUUUGUGCGUCUUAUAGUUUCUAGUUACUUACCUUUACAAUUUGCAGACUCGUAGUGACUAGCUAGGUGAGCGUGAUCUUUGGGACCCUAUAUGCUCUUUAUCGCAGAUCUCGAUCUCAGGAGGGUCCUCUUGGCUAGCCCCUCUUAUCGGGCAUGGUUUUUUAGUGAGAGGAUAUACAGUUGGGAGAUGGGGCCUAACAGGCGUCGAGUUCCUUUAUCUCCCCCUCCUUCUAUGUUUUGGACUGCAAAUCUUGCUAGUGAAGAGCUGAGUAGGAUUUUAGAGGGAUUUAACAACUUCGAAGACCUCACCAUCCGGUCUUGGAGGACGGACUACACCUCUUUCAUCCCUCAGUUACUCGGGACCGUGCCUUUUAGCAAUGACAUUAUGGCUCAAGUUUGUCAUUGACUUUGCUUGGCUUAUCACUUUCUUUAUUUUGAUUAAUUACUCAUUUAGUUGUCAUGCCACAAUUCAUUCGCUAUGCGCCCCCAGCUUCUGAGCUGACAGAGGGACGGUUUACUCACUGCUCCAGACCUUCACACAUUUUGAGCUCCUCUACAGGUGCCACAUCCGAAGCACCUCCUACAACGAUGCUAGAUGUGGUGCCUAGGAGCAUUAUAUUUCUCUCGGAUCCGAUGGGCUCUUACUGGAGUCCCGCAGGUGCUAUAAAGCAUCGGCUCGCCAUAGAGUACUGCCUUCCGCUAAAGUUUAUUCCAAGCACUUGCAUGCACGUCUAGAGAAAUCAGUUCGAGCACGUACAUCGGCUGGUCGACGCUGUAAGGAGGCAGUUCUUCGUCCUCAGCGAGGACUGACGAGUAAAAAAACAAUUUGUAAAAUGCAAAAUGUAUGCAUGUAUGCAUGUAAGAAAUACUUGACUAAUCUUCUUUUGGGUUUUCUUUAGAGGGACCAUGAGAGUAUGCAAGGGCAAGUGGAUGACUGACAACGUCAAAUCUAGGCCUAACAACGUAGGAUUGACACUUUGACGCUUCAGCUGUCUACUUUGAAGAUCCAGGGGACAUGCACCGACUUUGAUAAGGGGAUGGGAGAUUCGGGAAAGAGCCCUGAUUUUUUAUUUUUCUGCUAUUAUUUGUAUUUUUGCUUUUCAUUACUUUUCUGUAAAACUUGACUUUUUCGAGAUAUAAAAU